GUUUGAUCCUGGCUCAGAAUCAACGCUGGCGGCGCGCCUAACACAUGCAAGUCGAACGAGAAAGGGGAGCAAUCCCUGAGUACAGUGGCGUACGGGUGAGUAACACGUGGAUGAUCUACCCCUUAGUUUGGAAUAACCAUGGGAAACCGUGGCUAAUACCGGAUAAGCUCGAGAGAGGAAAGCAGCAAUGCGCUGAGGGAGGAGUCCGCGGCCGAUUAGCUAGUUGGCAGGGUAAAAGCCUACCAAGGCAAAGAUCGGUAGCCGGCCUGAGAGGGCACACGGCCACACUGGCACUGAAACACGGGCCAGACUCCUACGGGAGGCAGCAGUGGGGAAUCUUGCACAAUGGGGGAAACCCUGAUGCAGCGACGCCGCGUGAGCGAUGAAGCCCUUUGGGGUGUAAA
rnacentral:rRNA from 1 species